UCACCCCUCAAGCCCCGUGCUUGGUGUUGGACGGCCGGUCGCCUCACCGCGACCCCUCCGAAAGACAAUGACGGCGGCCUGUGGUUCCCCCGGUACACUGAGCUUUUCACGGAGCACGUACCGGACGAGGGCGCCCGGGACCCGGUCUUCUCCUUUAGCUAGGAAACUUUUAAUGG
rnacentral:misc_RNA from 1 species